GACGAACCGUGCGAACGUUGUUCGGAAUCACUGGGCUUAAAGGGCGCGUAGGCGGGCGGUCAAGUCAGAGGUGAAAUCCCACGGCUCAACCGUGGAAGUGCCCCUGAUACUGAUCGCCUCGAGGGAGGUAGGGGCGUGCGGAACUUCCGGUGGAGCGGUGAAAUGCGUAGAUAUCGGAAGGAACACCGAUGGCGAAAGCAGCGCGCUGGACCUUUACUGACGCUGAGGCGCGAAAGCCAGGGGAGCAAACAGG
rnacentral:rRNA from 1 species